GUCAUUUGCAUCCAACGUUUGGACAGUCUUUGAUUUUUCAGACAAACAAUCAACUUAGAAACACUCCUGUAUGGGUUAGGUGUCUUCAAAUUUCUGAGUUUAAGUAAAAGAUUUAAAUACAGUUUUGGAUUGUCUGCCAUGUGUUUUGUCACAGUGCUGAAAGCAGAAUGGUUUAUGUGGAAUAAGUGUUAGAGAUGCAUGUUUUUCUCAUUAUGUUUGUCUGUCCUCUCUGCAGCUUUAUACACAGCACAAGAAGCAGUGGGACCAAUAGGACUGUCAGUUUACGCUGCUGUUCAAUAUUUUUUGUUCAAGAAGACCCUUGACCCACAAGAUAUCCAAAGAUCCAGAUCCACUGCAGGACACGUAUGGUACUAAUGCGACGGAGGGGUCACCACAGAUACCAUCACCAUCUACAAGAGACAAGUUGAGGUCUAAGCAUGUUUGCCUCCCACUCAUCUCGCAUACAGUGGCAUUCUCACAAAGUAACAGCCAACACACGUCUGCCUGCACUACUUACAGGGCGACUGUAAGUUUGGCUCUUCAUGUAAAAGAGCUCAUAAUAUCGACGCACAAGGAAUGAAGCUCCUCCGAGGAUUCAGUAAAGAAAAUAUUGCCAGAUACCACUGAUGUCCCACAAAUCUCCAAAUUUGUCCUGGACAAGUCUAAAGAUGUUCCACAGAAAGACUUUUCUAAGACAGAACUCUGGCAAUUUGUGACCAAGCACUGGUGAAGAUGUUCCAGAGAAAGGUCUGGUCCUCACACCACAUCCACCAGAGACUUGAUCAGCCACGCAGAUGUCCAAAUGAAACAUUUGAAAUCACAAAAGGUGAUGGGCGAGCUGCCAGCAGAAACAAAUCCUCUUGAUCCUUACAAAGCUGCAAAACAUGAAGGGAAAUGGCCAGUCUCAGUUUUUCUGAUAGACCCGCUGUGUAGUUUAUAAUAAAACCCGAAACUCCCAA